rnacentral:tRNA from 1 species
GAAUUAAGACAGAUCAAACUAAAUAUAUUAAGCAUAACAAACAUUUUGUUCUUGAGGAUAAUUGUAUUUUAU